UUUGACGUUACCUACAGAAGAAAGCACCGGCUAACUCCGUGCCAGCAGCCGCGGUAAUACGGAGGGUGCGAGCGUUAAUCGGAAUUACUGGGCGUAAAGCGCAUGCAGGCGGCCUGUUAAGUCAGAUGUGAAAGCCCGGGGCUUAACCUCGGAAUUGCAUUUGAAACUGGCAGGCUAGAGUCUUGUAGAGGGGGGUAGGAAUUUCAGGUGUAGCGGUGAAAUGCGUAGAGAUCUGAAGGAAUACCAGUGGCGAAGGCGGCCCCCUGGACAAAGACUGACGCUCAGAUGCGAAAAGCGUGGGGAGCAAACAGGAUUAGAUACCCCUGGUAG
rnacentral:rRNA from 1 species